GGGCCCUAACUCCACUCUGGCCAGACUAUGUUGUCUUAACCGGGCUCAUGUUAGCGUCAGAGUUUGGCUAACGGCGUUCCCCGAAAAACCAUACCACCCGCUCUGCCAGUGUGAGACAUGCCAAGAUGGAUCGGUGAACCAUCAAAGUCGCGAAUUUAACUCUGGUUGGAUGCGUGAAGAAUAUGGCUCAUGCGGUAUGCCUAAUCACGAUAUGGAAUCUAUGGUUAACUCGAAGUGGCAAAACAUUUAG
rnacentral:lncRNA from 1 species